rnacentral:rRNA from 1 species
UACGUAGGGUGCGAGCGUUGUCCGGAUUUAUUGGGCGUAAAGAGCUCGUAGGCGGCUUGUCGCGUCGGAUGUGAAAGCCCGGGGCUCAACUCCGGAACUGCCUUUAAGACUGCAUCGCUAGAAUUGUGGAGAGGUAAGUGGAAUUCCGAGUGUAGAGGUGAAAUUCGUAGAUAUUCGGAAGAACACCAGUGGCGAAGGCGACUUACUGGACACAUAUUGACGCUGAGGUGCGAAAGCGUGGGGAGCAAACAGG